CAAAUUCGGGUCAGGAGGGUGAAAAAAAGAAUAAUAUGUAAUUUUAUAUUUUACCGCCAGAGAAGGAUAUAUCUGUUUACCCCCUCAACUUUUUGACUGGCUUGACGUACAAAUGUUGGUAUAAUGGCGGAGUGUUCAACCUACAGUCAAAUUCCACUGAAAGAACAUCGGUCCCAGCCAUAUCCACCAGCCGAAGUCCAGCCAGAUGAACCUGAUAAAUCAUCAAUAUAUCACGAAGAAGAUGGCGAUAAACAACCGUCACAUACUUUACUGGAAAAUCAACAGUUUGCCAGACCUGAAUCUUCUUCUGCCAACAACAUAGUUACAUCAAUGGUAAAUCCUGAAGUAGAUACACCACCUCCAUAUACUUCAGUUGAGCAUAUAUGUGUUGCAACAGAUGUUUUGCCAACAAACAAAAGCGUUCCAGUUUUGGUAGAUAAACCAACGUCAUCAGCUUCUUUCGUUCCAUAUGAACCUGAGUAUCAAAGGAUUUCUGCUACCAAGCAGAUUUUGAUUUUUUUAGACACAGAGGAAGGAUGAAUCUCCACCAGAAGAUUUCAAUUAUCUUUGUCUAGCCAUUUUUGUAUGUCUUUGUUGCUUCUUGCCAUCAGGUUUGCUUGCCAUCUCUUAUGCCAGAAAAGCAUCCAAAGCAAGAGCACGAGGUGAUUAUGAUACAGCAAGAACAUAUAAUCGUUGGACCUUGACUUGGAUAGUUUCAUCGUGUAUUUGUGGAAUAAUUUCAGUCAUCUUUUAUCUAUCCAAAAAGUAAAAACACAUAAAAUAUCCUGAGAUAGCUGCUCUUAUAAUGCAGAUACCUCUUUCUGUAAUAAAACCAAGCUCAAUUA